rnacentral:sRNA from 1 species
UCUGUCAUUUCGAAUAUGAAGCAAGAAAACACAGAUAUAAAGACAUCGUCGCCAUUCUCUAGAUUUCCUCAAGAAUCUUCGUCUGUCUUUUCGAAUAUGAAGCA